rnacentral:rRNA from 1 species
AAGUCGAGGGGCAUCAUGAGGUAGCAAUACCUUGAUGGCGACCGGCGCACGGGUGAGUAACGCGUAUGCAACCUGCCCGAUACCGGGGUAUAGCCCAUGGAAACGUGGAUUAACACCCCAUAGUACUUUUAUCCUGCAUGGGAUGUGAGUUAAAUGUUCAAGGUAUCGGAUGGGCAUGCGUCCUAUUAGUUAGUUGGCGGGGUAACAGCCCACCAAGACGAUGGAUAGGGGUUCUGAGAGGAAGGUCCCCACAUUGGUACUGAGACACGGACCAAACUCC